CGGGGCGAGCGAGGGAGCUCGACCGGAGACACGUCCAAGCAGAGAGAACAACGGUUCUCCGGGACAGAGGACUUCGGUUCUCUGAAAGGGAGAACAAGAGUUCUUUUGAACGGACGCGUCCUAGAUGGCCGGGCUGAGAGGCCGGAAGGUCGGGGAGACCGGAAGGCGACCUCCAGCACCUGAUCCGGACAAUGCCGGCGAAGGGAGCCCACCUCGCAGGUUU
rnacentral:ncRNA from 21 species